rnacentral:misc_RNA from 1 species
UAACCUCUAUAACUAUGCCAUAGAAAAGACUAUGCUCUAUGAGCUCUAUGUAUAACCUAUAACCGAAGGAAGAAUAUAUGUGAAUAUAUGUUAUUAAAAAGGCAAUAAUAUUUAUUUUGUGCGGUUGUUGUAACGUUUUUUUGUGGAAAGUUUCGUGAUGGAAACCGAAAAUAAAGAAAAUAUUGAUGAAGCAGAAGAGAAAAGUCCUUCUUUUAAACCAUGGCAUGUUCUAUAUGCUGUAGACACUGAUGCAUCGAUGUUUAUUAGAGGAAAUGAUUCAAAGACUCCAUUCCAAAAGUGUCUUAAAGCGUUACUGUAUCUUGCUGACUCCUCUCUGUUAUUGACACCUCGUACGAUGAAAUCCCCACUUGGUGUUUUUCUAUCAGAAAAUGAUAUCAGAAAAGCAAAAUUGAUAGGCUUUGACCAAAGCAUGCCUGAAAAUGUAAAAUUUCUAAAAUCAUUGAUAGAAAAGGCAACAGAUGAACUUCAACAACUUUAUGAACGUCCUGGAUAUUUUGAUUUUGGUGAUUUCUUAUUAUUCUGUAAACAUCAACUGGAUCAGCUUAAAACGGACCCAUUCAAAACUACAAUUGUUUAUAUAACAAAUGUUAGCAAUCCUGUAAAUGAUGAUGAGCAACUUAAAAUUAAAGUAUUCAAUACUGUGAGAAAUUUAGAAGAGCAGAAAGUCUUUUUAAAAAUAAUUACAAUGAAUCCUUUCUUUGAUGUAGAUGAUUUUUAUGCAGAACUGCUUAAUGGAUUGGAGAUUCAAAAAAUUCAAUAUGUAGAAUCUGACAGUGAUCUUGAGGAAUUACUUGCUUCACUAAUUAAAAUUAAAACUGUAAAAAUUUCCUAUAAGUUGUAUCCAUUUCCUGGAAAUGAAAAGAAAUAUUUCAAUCUUUCCAGUAUUUCAUAUGUAAGAGACAAUGAAAUUAAAAAUAAUGUAUCAGUAACCAAAACUGACCAUGCACAAGUGAAAAAAAUGUUCCAUCACACAAAGGAAAUUCCUCCCUAUGUCACUGUCUUAAACCCUGGAAAUAAAGGGCUGUCUCCUUCUGUUGAAUUUACUAAAAAGGAGGCAGAUGCACUACUUAAAACAAAUAAUUUGCCAGUUGGCUUAACAUUGUUGUAUACUUGUGAAAAAAUUAGCAACCCUUACUGGUUCAUUAAGCCAGUCACCAUAUUUCAACACAACAAAAUGGAAACAAAUCAGUAUUAUAUUUACCUGUGGAACAGUCUUGUUAAGUUAGAACUGGUAAUGAUAUGCUACUUUAAAAAAAGAGAUAAUGGAAAGGUACAUUUUGUUGAGUUAGAGCCAAAAUUAGUAGACAACAUCCAGUCAUUUCUUUGCAAGUAUCUACCUAAUGCUGAAGAAAUUAAGGCACACGAACCAUUAGAUUCUGUGGAUAUUCCAAAACUGGCUGAACAAAGCAUGAAAGACAUAAUUGAAAAAUUAUCAUUUGAUUAUGAUCCAAAGUUAUUCAGAAAUCAAAUAUAUGAAAAAAAGGAAAAAUAUAUAAAGAGUCAGCUGCUUGAAGAAGAUUUUGUAGUGGAUAAGCAGAUGGAAAAUGAGGCAUUAAAGUCAAGUAAAAGAAUUGAUGAACACAUCAAGGAAGAGACUGAAGUUCUAAACAACCUUUUCAAGAAAGGAACUAAAAGGAAGAACUGAAUAUAUUAUCAAAUAUGGCAGAGCGUUACUCUAAAAAUUUAACUAAUGAGAAUCGUGAAAAUAAUGCGAUACAUGGGCAGCAUUAUGCAGUUAAUUUUGGGCUGACUAGAGUAAACAACGUGAAAUUUAUUUGGAAACCAUUAAACAGCUCAUUUUUCGUGAGUUUGGCUUGCUCUUCACAGUUGUAAAACUUUGGAACGUUGCAUUCUACAGUUAAUUAAGGUGAUUAUUCAACAAAUGGGAUAGAAAUAAAGUUCAGUUUGGUCCUACUGAAACAACCAAUGUCUACAUGGGCAUCAUCUUUCCUGGGCUGUAUUCUUGAUUAGCUGUUUACAUCUUUGCCUUACAACAUUAUGAAGUUAAUUUUCAAUCGAUGCGUGAGAGCAACUGGAGAUUAAUUUGAAAUCCACGAAAACAAAACAUUUUUUGCGAUGGUAUUAUUGCUGGAUUUAUUUUGCUUUUCACACCUGCAAAGUUUUGAACGUUACAGUCUACAGUUAAUUAAGAUUGGCUAACAAAUGAGAGAAAAUGAGGAAGUGAAUUUUGACUGGAUGUCUGCGCUGGUGUCCUUUUAGAAUUUGGAAUGCUUUUCACACAUAUUAACCACAGAACGUUACAUUCUACAGAUAAUUCAGAGUUGUGAUCAGGCGAUGGAACUCUCACGAAGCAAAAACGCAGAUAAAUUGAAUUCUGUAAAACGGGGAUGAAACUAAGCACGCGAUUGGUUACAGCGUCGCAGACAUCUAAUUUAACGCAUCUGAUUGGCGUUUGUCUACGUCAUCAGUGCUUCAUGUGGUAGCAAUCGCAAUUUCGCGACAAGCCUGAGAGGCGUUUGGCACAUCAUAAGUUCAUAAAGUUUCGAGGUGGAAGGACGUGCUUUCGCGUCUCUUAAAUUCAACUUAUCCAGCUAAUUUUUUCGCAAAAUUACUUUUAAUUUAUUCUACGUCUGAAAGAUUGGCCAACAAUUGAGAGAGAUUGGAACUGACAUCUUUGCUUACUGAAAAGAUAAGUCGUCUCCUAUGGCGUUGUAGCUGUUAACCUUUCAUCAUGGAGGCUCUUGUAGUUAAUUAAGGAACAUUAGAAGAACUCCGGAUACCUUUAAAUUAUGAAAUUAUGGAGCAUUGGUUGAAUUAGUUCUCAUUUGCCCUGCAAAGUAGCUGUGCCC